ensembl:snRNA U6 U6 spliceosomal RNA
GCUCACUAGAAUGUUGCAUAUACUAAAAUUGGGGUGAUACAGAGGAGAUUAACAUGACCUCUGUGCAAAGAUGACAUACAAAUUCAGGAAACAGUUUUU